rnacentral:lncRNA from 1 species
UAGCUAUCCGUCAUUACGUUCUGUAUUACACAUAACAUUUAUUAUUCUAUUUUUGCUGUAGGCUCCGGGGGGCAUCUCCUGUGGCAUCUGGAAGACCUGGCCUUUCAAUUCAUUGCUCCAACACAGACUUGCUGUGUGACCCUGGCUGGGUAAGGUAACAUGCCUUGCUGAGUCUAGGUCUUUCAUCUAUAAACGAGGGAUAAACAAACAUCUGGGGACAGAGACCACUGAUGCCUCUUAACAUCCCUUCUUCCCUUCCUCUUUCAAAGUAAGAAUUCUGACUUUUGCUUAGGUCCAUUGGCACCAGCUGCAAGAGGACAGUCUGGUCUGCUAGGUGGCUAGGGUGACUGAGCGGUAGCCAAGGAAAUGAGUGGAAGCAAUGAGAGCAAUUCUGGGGACGUCACCUCCAGAGAUGGAGGAACACGCAUUCCGACGAACACAAAAAUCUUAAUAGGACAGAAGCAUGCAGAAUCCAGAAGCCUGGUCAAAGGGAUAUACAUCCUGCUUCAGGGAGGUUCGUUCCAGAACACAAAGGCUAACGGGAAAUCUGCUAAUGCAGCUCCACAUAGCAGUAGCUAGGAGGAGGAAGAUCAAGUGGUUUUUGCUCUAACUCAACAACCACUUUAGAUUUUUAAGAUGUUGAUAACUGG